CGGGCUGGCCCAAUAUAGGCUUAUGGAGCCCUUGCUCUAUUUCCCGCGCAAAUAUCCUCCAGUUUUAAGCUGCCCAUUUUCUCCCCCAAUUUCCCGUGUUUUCGUCAGUUAUUCAAUUUCAAUUACCCACUUCUUCAACCUCAAUCCCAUCAUUUCUGCAACUAUUUCACAAAUUCGAAGACAGGAAUGGCUGAUUCGGGAGUUGAACCAGACGAGAGUAGCUUGAAGAAGAGCAAGAUCGAUUUAUCGAAAACCCUAACCCUAAAUCUCCCGGACCACAUCCUAAUUGAAGAAAUUCUGGCACGACUUCCGGUAAAAUCCCUAAUUCGUUUCAAAACCGUUUGUAAGUAUUGGUUAUUAAUAAUUUCUUCCCGCAAAUUCGCAAUUUCCCAUCUGAAAUUCUCUGUGUUACGCCGUCAAUUUCUAUUUCUUCCGUAUUGUGAUGAUUAUUGUGGGAAAGGGAAUGGUGGUUAUUUUCUCUCGUUACCGUACAAAGAAUGCUGUAGCGUGAAAGAUUUAGUUCGAUUAGGGUGUGGAUAUAUUGAAGAUUUUCCUGUAUUAGUGGGUUCUUGUCAUGGACUCAUAUGCGUGUGUGAUAAGGAAGAGUAUGCUGGUAAAUUUGGUCUGUGGAACCCUGCUACAAAAGAGCAUCGUGAGAUUACUAAUCCCGAUAAUAUUCCCGAUGUUUUAGCUUAUGGUUUUGGUUAUGUUUAUUCCAUUGAUGAUUAUAAGAUUGCAUCUUCAUUUGCUACUCGUAGUGGGAAGUUUCGGGGUUUUACGUGCUUUCUGUACGUGAUGGGAAAUGGAAAAGAAUUGUUGGUAAAUUUGAUAGGCAUUACCAUCAACUUGCUAUCACAUUGGACAACGAAGCACUGUUUGUUGAUGGAACUCUGUACUGGCCUCCCAGAUGUACUGAGCGUUUUAACCUCUGUAAGGCCAAACACAUUAUUGGGUUUAACUUAGAGAGGGAGGAAUUUGAAGAAUUCCCAUGGAGAGAGAAUUUACAUAGCUACAGAGAUGUUAAAUUGUUGAACUUUAAAGGGUGUUUGACGUUCUAUGGUCGUAACUGGAAGAGUACUCACAAUGUUUGGGACUUUUGGAUGCUAAAAAAACCCAAUGGCUCGAUUAGUUGGGAGAAAUUGUUCACAUUUGAUCUUACAAAUGUCUCCUUUUUUUCGUUUCUCUGAGACAGACAAGUGUUUGGUGCGACAGUUUGAGCAGUUCAAGUUAAUUGACCCAUCUAAGGAAGCUUUGGAACUUGUCCGAGGAGAUUCCGAUAAUUCUCAGAAGGAAGUAACAAUGGAAUAUACUGAGAGUCUUGUUUCACCUUUUUUUACAACGAAGGUGAAAAACUUUGAGGUUUGAUCAUGUCUUUUUAUUCUAAUGCUUUGUGUGUAGUUUUAUAUUCUUGCUGGUUUUAGCUAGUUGCGCAUGUUUGUUAUGAUCAAGGUUGUAGCCAGGGGGUUUCAUUUCUGAAUGAUACUAAUUGAAAAUUCUAAACUGUGAUUAUAUUUCUGGUUUAUAGGACCGAUGAACAGAAUUGUCUCAUACAGAUGUAGUAGGAAUUUGAAACUCAUAGACUUUCAGAUGGUUCAUACUUCAUAAUUCAUAUGUUGCCACUAACGUGCCUGUUUUUUGAAGUUAAUGUGGCAUCCUUCUCUGAUAUCAUCUGAGGUCUUGAUUGGUAAAAUUAGCAGUUAAAGGAACAGCAUAUCUCAAUGGAGUAGACUUGAAAUAUCACUGUGAAAUUUGUUGUUCUAUUUUUCAAAAGAAUUGAUGGAUGGAAGUGUGUUGUAUGCUUCUGAUAUUAAAGGAAGGUUGGAUGACUUGUAAUAUCUUAACCUUCGAGUUUGUUAAAUGAAAAUGAGAUGUCAAAUACACAAGUUCACGACCUUCCUACUUAUUAUUGGUGCAUUAGUCAAUAUACAUGCAGAGAAGGAUAGUUGUGUUUUCUUAAAAAUAUUGUCCUUUAUAUUCAACAACUUAUACGAUUUCUCAAAGUCAUAAUUGCCAGAGGAUCUAGACACGAUCUACGAUAGGAGUUUAAAGGAGAUGUUUGUAUCCACCCUAGAAGGAUACAUCAGACUCACCCAAAAGUAAUUAAUUGAACUUUUGAGCAUGUUCUUUUUGUUGAUCUAUUGUAGGAUUGUAGUACAUAUUCUUGGAUAGAGUAGGAUUAUGGUGAGCUAUGACAUAGUUUCCUUGUGGAAAAGGUCAUUAAGUGUCAUCAAAGCUACAUGAUUUUUAAAAGCUACAUGAUUUUUACUAAUUCUAUGUGUUUAACAUAGGUUUUGGCCAUUGGAUUGGAAAUAAAUCACUUCAUUCUACAAGCAUUUUGCUCUUUGUAAUUCAUGAACUUGGAUACAUCUAUUGCCUUUUCAUAAACUAGUCGUUUGGUUAAUGUGAGGUGCACUUUUGUUUUAAAGGGUGCCUAUUCAUGUGUUCUGUUUGUAUAUAGUGUCUACAUUGUAUAUAUUCCUUCUUUAAAUUUUCACGUCCAAUAUUCAGAAACUAUUACGGAGUAUGUCUUUUAUUUCUCUCCCGUUGUUGGCUUGAUGCUGUUCAUUUUUUCCGGCAACUUGAAGUUACUUGAUAUUGUUGCAAUUCAUUUUUUUUCCCGGCAACUUGAAGUUACUUGAUAACAUCUGUUGUGGCAGCUCACUUAUCAGUUGUAUCAGGUAUGGUCUAACUAUUUCUCUUUUUGUUGGGGGUGUAACAUUAGACUGCUAAACAACCAAUCGUGGACAAUAAGCUUCUCCAAAAUAAACGAGUUCUUCCUGUGUCUCGGGAAAAGGACUCUGAUUAUGAAGACGAGGAUGACUAUGAUGAUGAUUGCGAUGAUGAUGAUGAUGAUGAUGAUGGUGAUGAGAGUGAUUUCGAGGAGGAGGAGGAGGAUGGCAAUGCUAGUGAUUUCGAGGAGGCGCAUGGCAAUGAGAGUGAUUCUGAGGACAAUGGCAAAGUCAAAACUUAUUGGUUAAGUUCAGAUGAUGAUGAUAAAGACAGCGAUUAUUUUAAGUAUGCGCUAUCCAAUGAUGAGGACGAAGGUGAUGAUGAGGAUGAAGAAGAUGAAGAUGGAUUCUAGUAGCUAGAAAUCUAGAAUCUAGAAAGAGUAAAGAAUGUUUUUAUGUACAGAAUUUUUUUUGUUUUUUUUCCCUAUCUUGUGUUAUGAUUACUUUUGUUAGGAUGUGUUAUAUACUUAUAUUCAUUUGAUUUUCACUUAACUUUCCUUAACUUAAUCUGAACUUGUCUUAAUUGUUAAAA